AAUCACCGCUCGGCUGUGGGGCCUGCGCUCCUCCGGGCCCUUCCCCGGCUUCCUGCUGCCAGCGCCUCCCUCGGGCUCCGGUUGGGGAGGAGGACAAGCUGGCGACUGGGGUAUCCCUUUUCAGACUGCCGCGUGGGUCUCUCCUGGCCCUGCGCCCCGCACUGUGGACCCCUCUCGGUCAUGCUGAGGCAGCCUAGGGCCGCGGGCAGCCCAGACUGCACUUUGGUGGGUAUCAGAAAACGUCCCGCCUGGGUGGGAGGCGCCCCUCUUCUGCCCUACAGGGGAAGGCAAUCCGGGAGUCUGCAGAGCAGCGACAGUGGAGUGCUCUGCCACCACCCUUGCCCCCUGCAGUCCUUUCUUCGCCCAUCCCUCCUCCGCCUGCGGGUCUGCAGGGGCUCGGGUAGGGCUUCGCGCCUCCCGCGGUCCAGCUGUCUACAUCUGGCCAGCAGCUGGGAGCCGCCCACCGCGAACUACUGAGGACACAGCGCCCUCUGUUGGGUCUCGCCCUGCCGCCUAGGCUGGAGUGCAGUGGUGCAAUCAAGGCUUGCUGCAGCCUCGACAUCCAGAGCUCAAGCGAUUCUCCCACCUCAGCCUCCCGAGUAGUUGGGACUACAGGACUACAGACGCAUGCCACCACGACCGUCUUUUUUUUUUUUUUAGAGGCGGAGUCUCGCUUUGUAUUUUAAGCUGGUCUCUGAACUCCUGGGCUCAAGUUAUCCUCCCGCCUCCAAUUCCCAAAGUGCUGGGGUUACAGAGACUGAGCCACUGCCCCUGGCCAGAACACACUAAAUUUUUUAAAAGAUCCCGUUUAAAACUAGGAAUUGGGGGACCUAGCCUCCUGACAAGAGCUAAUAUAAUUAUGUCAUUGUGAUUUUCUUUUUAAAACUGUAAUGGUUUGUAGUGAGAACAGGUUUCCAAUCUCUGAAUCCCAGGGCCCAGGGAAGUCAAGAAGUUGUUAAUUGCUUCCAUGCAGAAGCCAAAUCCAUAUGCACAUUCAGUAUUGUCUGUGAAUGAAUAAUGGGUUUAUUUUCCAUUGCAUUGCACAUGUAUGAAGAUGCUGCCGUGAUUAAUAAUGCAGAAAAUUUGUAAAUAGUUUAAUACCUUUUUAAAAA